rnacentral:rRNA from 1 species
CAGUACGGCGAGUGAGCGGCAAGAGCUCAAAUUUGAAAUCUGGCCCCCUCGGGGUCCGAGUUGUAAUUUGCAGAGGAUGCUUCGGGUGCGGUCCCCGUCUAAGUGCCCUGGAACGGGCCGUCAUAGAGGGUGAGAAUCCCGUCUGGGAUGGGCGGCCGCGCCCGUGUGAAGCUCCUUCGACGAGUCGAGUUGUUUGGGAAUGCAGCUCUAAGCGGGUGGUAAAUUUCAUCUAAAGCUAAAUACUGGCCGGAGACCGAUAGCGCACAAGUAGAGUGAUCGAAAGAUGAAAAGCACUUUGAAAAGAGAGUCAAACAGCACGUGAAAUUGUUGAAAGGGAAGCGUUGUCCACCAGACUCGCCCGGGGGGGCUCAGCCGGCACGUGUGCCGGUGUACUCCCCUCCGGGCGGGCCAGCAUCGGUUUGGGCGGCUGGUGAAAGGCCCCGGGAAUGUACCACCCUUCGGGGUGCCUUAUAGCCCGGGGUGCCAUGCGGCCAGCCUGGACCGAGGCCCGCGCUUCGGCGAGGAUGCUGGCGUAAUGGUGGUCAACGGCCCGUCUUG